UUGGUUGUUUUGCCUCGUAUUUGGAUUGUAUGCAAUUAAUUUUUAGCUAAUAUUAACCUAAAUAUCAUGUAGGUAGCCAAGGGAUCAAAAACUUCUGGUGAAGCUAUCGGGAUCGACAUCGACGGUAAACCGUUUCAUAGGAGAGAAUUGAAGAAAUUCGAAGUCAAAGAUUAGAAGGUCUCGCAGAAAUUUUUCCUCAUGAUGCGUUUGGUGUGGUCUUCGGUCCGGAGCACCCUGGUCGUGUUCGAGGCUUAGGCAUGGGUGUUGUUCCAACUGUGGCAUUCAAUAAGACAUCAAGGCGAGGUGGUUGUUUUUAUAUGGGUUCGUCUAAUGCUAGCGCUCCACCUCCACAAUGGCAACAAGAGAUGGCGGAUAUGAGAUCACAAUUGAAUGCGCUAACAAACUUAUAUCGAAUGAACAUAGGGAAUAUCCUCGAGGAGUUUAAUCACUUAUUUCCGACUCCCACACAGGCACAAGAUUUAGGAAGCACUCCUUCACCAAUUGGACCAAGAAGUUCCUCAUAUAGAUGUAACAACGGAGAUAGAGCGAGUGGCAAUUAGUAAUCAUCAUUAGGAUCAAAACUAUGUUUUUUGGGCAUUGUUGAUGAAUAACUAUGAAACUCUAGCUUGAAUUUGGAUGUAAUUUUGGGAUACUUUUGUUUUAUAUAUUGAAUAUUUUGCUCA